rnacentral:lncRNA from 1 species
AAAUGAUCAGCUAGGCUCUUACUGGCAUCUGACACUAUUUUUUCUCAUUAUGCAUAUUUUUACUGUUAAUAUCAGAAAGUACAGUCACUAGCUGCCAAGUGAGGAUGUGAAUUUGAUCCCAGACAACUGAAGUGCUCUCUCUCUCUCUCUCUCUCACACACACACACACACACACACACACACACACACGCACGCACAUACACAUACAUGCACAGGCAUACACCCACACUCAAAUAUACACCACAGAGAAUUAAAAACAGACCAAAAAUUGUAUGUUAAAAUACACAGCAGUUAAUAGAUAAAAUGCAUAAAUAACUCAAAUGUCUACCAACAGAUAUAAUAAUUAAUAAAAGUUGUAUUAACUGGGCUUCUUAGGGUUUCCAUUGUUGGGAAGAGAUACCAUGACCAAGGCAAUCCUUAUAAAAGUCAACAUUUAAUUGGGGCUGGGCUUAUAGGUUCAGAGAUUCAGUUCAUUAUCACCAUGGCAGCUUCCAGGCAGACACUGCUAUAGGAGCUAAGAUUUCUGCAUCUUGUUUGAACGCAAACAGGAAAAAACUGGCUUCCAGGCAGCAAGGAGAAGGGUCUCACAUUUCCUCCAACAAGGCCACAUGUCCUAAUAGUACCACUCCCUGAGGCAACCAUAUUCAAGCCCCUGGGGUGUAGUGGGACACACCUAUAAUCCUAACUGUCGGGAGGCGGAGGUAGGCGAAUCUGUGAGUUUGAGGCCAUCCUGUUCUACAGAGUGAAUUCCAGCACAGCCAGGGCCAUGAAGAAACAGUGUGUGUGUGUGUGUCUGUGUGUGUGUGUGUGUUGCAUGCAUUUAAGUGUGCAGGUGUGUGCAUCUUCUGUGUGCAUUCAGGCUGAGUGCGAGUGUGUAGUCACGAAGGACCAGAACGUGAGCUGAGGUGUCUGGCUCUAUCCUUGUCUCUCCUGUUCGCUUAAGACAGUCUCUCACUGAACUGAAGGCUGACUGACUGUCUAGGGAGCUGGGGUGAGCCUCUCUCCACCACACAACACUAGGGUUACACGAAGGUGCAGCCAGGCUGGGCUCUCCGUGGAUGUAGGGGAUUUUAGCUCAUGUUCCCAUGCUUGAACGUCAAGUGCUCUUACCCACAGAGCACCUCUCAGCUCCUGCUUUGGUUUUUAGGGUCUCACAUUCCAGGUUGGUCCCCAAAUCACUGUAGCAAAGAGUAAUGUUGAACUCGAGAUCCUCCUGUUUCUACUGGCCAGGACUGGUACUGCCAUGCCAGUUCACAGGGCUUUAGGCUUCCCAUUCAUUCAUUCAUUCAUUCACUAAGGGAGCAAGACAGAGACACAAGCUGUAACAUGGAUGAACCUUGAGAACACUGAGUGGAGGCAGCCAGGCACAAAAGGCCACUGCAGGAUUGUUUACAUGAAAUAUCCCAAGGAUGGAGUAGUUUUGGCUUGUCUGGCAGGGAGGAGGCAAUGGGACAUGACCAUGUAAUGGGGGCAGAGUUGCCCUUUGGGGGAUGCUGAGACUCUCAGGGAACUAGACAGAGAUGAUAGCAGCUUGACUUUGUGGUUGCACUAACUGCCCUGGCACUGUGGGAUUCCUUUCAUCUCUAGUUACAGAUAAGAACUCUGAGGUUCUGAUGACAGGCAACUGGGGAAGCUGCAUGGCUAACCUCAUAAGCCCCACCAUUUGCCUGUGACUUUAUUUAACUUUUGUGGUAGCGGGGAUUGAACCUAGCACUUCUCUCAUGCUGGGAAAAUUCUAUACCCAGUCACUCUCUUCUUUUACUUUGUGUGUGUGUGUGUUUCUUUGAGACAGAGUCUCCUGUAGUCUAGGCUGACCUGGAAAUUAUAUUCAGGGCUGACCUUAAACUUCAACUCCUGAAAAAAAAUUAAGCCCUGAGCAUUUUAUCCUUGGCUAACCCUGCUAAUUCCUCCUGCCUGCCCCACUCCUCAGAGGGCAGCUACUUGGGGUUCCCUGUUGCUCCAUCUCUUCCAUUUCUUCAGAGAAACAGCUUGAGAGCUCCGUUUAAUCCAGUCACUGACUAUGCAUGACAUGGCUGGUCACCAGGCAGAGUGACAGACCCUGAAGCAAGCAGCUGCUCUCUGAAUGGAUUGGUGCAGAGCCUGCAGGGCUAGAUGGGCACAGCCUCCCCACCUCCACACCGACUUGCAUGCAAAGGAUCCAGAGAGAUGGUCUGUGAAGAACAUUUCUGUAAGGACACAUGCUGUCCAAGAUACCAGCAAAUCAGAGUGACUGGCAUUUUCGGCUGUAGCAAACGUGGCUCAGUGGUGAAGAACAUGGACUUUGAGGCCAGAGUCCUGAUGACAUUUACCUUGGUGGCUUGGCAGGAGCUGAUGGUUGUGAGCCUACUGCAGAGUCCACACCUGGUCCUGGGGAGAAAGAAGCCAUUGAAGCCUCGCCAGCCUCGUGGUCACGGGCAAAAGACAAUGUUCGCAUGAGCUGCUGGGCAGAAGAAGAGAUUUGGCCACGUGGCCAGGAGGAUCACAAGUCCAUGGCCAGCCUGGGCACCUCAUUGAGAGGAGACGCUGUUUGAAGAAAAGGUCUUCCAGGGCCCCUGGCUGUCUAUGGGAAGGAUCGCUGCGGAAGGCCGCGCAGGAAGCGUCGGCAGAUUCUAAGGACGGCAGAUAUUGCUGAACUGAGCUUUUAAGAGGCAGAGAGUCAGGGAGGGCCUUGUCUUUCCUGACUCUGCCCCAUAACUUGACCCUGGUAGGUGUUUACUAGUGUAUUAAACUGUAAUAAACUGUGACUUGGGCCCAGUGUCAGGGUGCAUACUCUGUUGGUUUACAGACAAUUCAGCUAGGCUUCUCACAGGGACCUUAGCAAUAGGCGUCAUCACCUGCGCUGCUGCCAGAUGCAGGUGGCCUGACAAGAGAACUGCUCUGUACCAUAGCCCUCUCACCUCCUCUUCCCCUCCUCCUCCUCCUCCUCCUCCGCCCCUCCCCCUUCUCCCCACUUCCUUCACAGGUGUUCCUGCCAGCCUCUUUUUCUCUCUUUCUCACCUUCUCUGCCCUCGCAGCUCUGUCUGUCUCUACUCCUCCAGGUCCUCACUCCCCUCCCUUCCAAAGGUAUGAUGUCUCAGGGGAACACCUUGGCAUGGGCCUGCCAGGCACCUCUGCCACCGUUGCAUUACAUUUCAUAACAUACCCAUCAUCUCAGUAUUCAGGAGGAGGCUGAGGCAGGAGGAUUGUAAGUUUUUGUUUUUUUAAAGAAUUAUUUAUUCAUUUUAUGUAUCUGAGUACACUGUAGCUGUCUUCAGACACACCAGAAGAGGGCAUCAGAUCCCAUUACAGAUGGUUGUGAGCCACCAUGUGGUUGCUUGGGAUUGACCUCAGGACCUCUGGAAGAGCAGUCAGUCCUCUUAACCUCUGAGCCAGCUCUCCAGCCCAUAAGUUUGAGGCUAGCCUGGGCUUCAGAGUGGGUCACUCAAAAAUACAUACAUACAUACAUACAGAAAUAAAUUUAUGGUGGCAUACAGGCAGUUCUUAGUCAUGUCUAUGAAGGUUCCUCAAAUUCUUUAUGGUCAUGACAAAAAGAAACUUUAAUAACACAAUUAUAUAUGACAAAUAGGACCAGGGUGGUCUUGACAACCCCCCCCCCCACCUCUCAGGCAACACUGCCCACCCAGGUAGUCCAGGCAGGUCUUCGGAUGAAAGACAACCACCGCAGCCGUGGUGUACUGCACUGAAGGAGCUGCGCACAACAGUCACCUUGUAUGCUGCAGUACCCACUGCUGGGGUUAGCUCGGGCAUCUGGGAAGCACAGAUGGGAGGAAAGAUGUCUGAGGGUUAGGAUGUGGCACGGGAGAUCAGUCUGCUUCUGGGCAGGGAGUGGUUGUCUGCUGCAGCAAGAAGUGCGCUGGGAGCCCUAGGCCAGAGAGUGAGCUGUGUAUCAAACAACAAACCCACAAAGCCUUGAUCUGUGAAUGAGAAAAAUAAAAUGAAAGGUGCAGGACCUGUCUACUCCUCACAUAUGGGGAGGAUUUCUAUUGUAGAUAUAAGGGAGGGACCAGGCAGAGGCAAGCGUCCAGGAUGAACCUGAGAAUUGUAAGAAGACAGAGUCCUCGGUUGUUUAAUGAAAACAAGCUGUAUUUUGGGAUGCACCCGGGACUGGCCAGCUGGCUGCCGCUCCCUAAGUGGGAUUUGGCCUCUUGAAGGUGUUCCCAUGGAUGAGGGACCUGGCCUAACAUUGACCUACAUUGUUACAGAGAUGCAGCUGAAAGGGAAGAAGCAAGGGUAAGGAUAUAUACAUCAUGGGAAUAGGGUUGCAAGCGGUUUACAUCACAUUAAAGAGACAGGAACUCUUUUUUGUUUGUUUGGUUUUUUUUUCGAGACAAGGUUUCUCUGUAUAGCCCUGGAACUCACUUUGUAGACCAGGCUGGCCUCAAACUCAGAAAUCCGCCUGCCUCUGCCUCCCAAGUGCUGGGAUUAAAGGCAUGCACCACCGCGCCCGGCUGAGACAGGAACUUCUUUAAUUGCAGUUAGAAACCUUAACUUGAAAGGACUUAACACAGGAUAAACAGAAACUUCUUUAUAAGUGUCUUUUUAAAUAUAUAUGUUUAUAUUUGUUCUUUAAUCCUUUUUUACAGUCCAGACUGCAUCCCCCUCCCAGUCUGCACACACACCUCCCACACACAGUUCCUCAUCCCAUUCCUCCUUCCCCUCCCCUCCCCCUCUCCAAAAGGAUGUCCCCAUCCCCUACCCCCACCCUACCAGGCCUCCCUACUCCCUGGGGCCUCAAGUCUCUCAAGGGUUAGGUGCAUCUUCUCUCACUGAGGCUAAACCAGGCUCUGUUCUAUAUGUGUCAGGGGCCUCAUAUCAGCUGGUGUAUGCUGCCUGGUUGGUGGCUCAGUGUAUGAGAGAUCUUGGGAGUCCAGGUCAGUUGAGACUGUGGUCUUCCUAUGGGGUUGUCCUCCUCAGCUUCUUCCAACUUUUCCCCAAUUCAACCACAGGGGUUCCACAGGGUCUGUCCUUUGGUUGGGUCUGCAUCUGACUCUUUCAGCUGCUUGUUGGGUUUCUCAGAGGGCAGCCAUGUUAGGCCCCUAUCUGCAAGCACACCACAGCAUCAGUAAUAGUGUCAGGCCCUUGCUGGGGGCCAGCCCCAGCGUGGGGUUCUUUUUUCUUGUCGGCUCUUCUUGAGGCAAUGGAGGGGGAAGAGCAUCGAUGGAGGGUAAGACUUUGUCUUACAAGAUUUUUACGUAGCUUACCUGCCUUCUGCGAUCCCCUGAGGCCAGAAACUGCAGUUUCUGGCACUUAGCACCUCUCCCUCAAGCCACAAAGGAUUAAGUAAAUAGCCUUUGUUCUGUCUCAACAGGAACUGCUGCUGGGCUCUAACUUUCAGCCUGCUAGUGGGGAGUUGCAGAAAGACAAAGGUUUAUUACUAAGUUGUAAAAAGUUUCCUAUGAAAGCUAAGCAAAAAGAUCCUAAGUGGGGAAAGGGGAAAGAGCCUCCUUUCUCCAGCUCCUCCUCAUCUCUCUGUCCUCAGCACUUACACAGCUUUCCCAAAGUUCAUCACACGUUCACACACAAAAAAUCAAAUCAUAAAUUGAAGUAGAAGUUUACAACAGCGAAUGUUUCCAUGCAUAUCCAUUAGGAGUAACUAUCUGGCUAAACAUCCAUCACCUGUCUCAGCUCCACAGGUUCACUGAAGGGUUAAAACCAUAACUAAGUUAUUAGUGACGUUUUGUAUAGAUAAACCCAGUCAAUAUUUUAUCUUCUGUCCUAGCACCUAUAAUAAAUUGCUAGUUUUAUAACCUUUGGUUAAUUGUUUUACUACCUCUUGGAAUGUGCGCUGAGUAGGAGAAAGUCUGGUUACCGGCUAAGAGCAAUUAACUGGUGACACUUGGGAGACUAACACAGUUCUCAUUGCAGUUUUGACUAUUAGAAAAGGACCUAAUAGCAGUCCCACUAUAAAAGAGCUUAAUAAUCACA